GACGAACGCUGGCGGCGUGCUUAACACAUGCAAGUCGAACGCGUGGCGAACGGGUGAGUAACACGUGGGUGAUCUGCCUUGCACUUCGGGAUAAGCUUGGGAAACUGGGUCUAAUACCGGAUAGUGCAAGAUGAGCUCGCGGCCUAUCAGCUUGUUGGUGGGGUAAUGGCUACCAAGGCGCGACGGGUAGCCGGCCUGAGAGGGUGUACGGCAAAAUGGGGACUGAGAGACGGCCCAGACUCCUACGGGAGGCAGCAGUGGGGAAUAUUGCACAAUGGGCGGAAGCCUGAUGCAGCGACGCCGCGUGAUUUAGAAGGCCUUCGGGUUGUAAAAAUCUUUUCUAUGGGAAGCAGUACCAUAGGAAUAAGGACCGGCUAAUUACGUGCCAGCAGCCGCGGUAAUUC
rnacentral:rRNA from 1 species